rnacentral:misc_RNA from 1 species
AAGUCGUAACAAGGUUUCCGUAGGUGAACCUGCGGAAGGAUCAUUACAAAUCAAGGAGCAAGCAUGGAGACUGGAGGCAGCGCAGCGCAGCGCAGUGCAGUGCAAGGCAUAAUAGCCAGACAGCAGGCGCAGCAGCGAGCGGGGCAGCCAGUCGGCCAAUGCAAGCCAAACAUUUACGCUUGUAGAGUUUGACAGAGUGAGCGAGUGGAAGAAAGAAAAGACAACUUUUAACAAUGGAUCUCUAGGCUCUU